UACAGAGGGUGCGAGCGUUGUCCGGAAUCACUGGGCGUAAAGGGCGCGUAGGCGGCUUGAUAAGCGUGCGGUGAAAGCCCGGGGCUCAACCCCGGGUCCGGCCGUGCGAACUGUCGAGCUGGAGCACUGUAGAGGCAGGUGGAAUUCCGGGUGUAGCGGUGGAAUGCGUAGAGAUCCGGAAGAACACCGGUGGCGAAGGCGGCCUGCUGGGCAGUGGCUGACGCUGAGGCGCGACAGCGUGGGGAGGCAAACAGG
rnacentral:rRNA from 1 species